rnacentral:rRNA from 1 species
CCUACGGGGGGCAGCAGUGGGGGAUAUUUCACAAUGGGCGGAACCCUGAUGCAGCGACGCCGCGUGGGUGAAGGAGCGUUUCGGCUUGUAAAGUCCUUUCGUCAGGGAAGAAGAUGACGGUACCUGGCGAAUAAGCCUCGGCUAACUACGUGCCAGCAGCCGCGGUAAUGCGUAGGGCGCAAGCGUUACCCGGAUUUACUGGGUGUAAAGGGGCCGCAGACGGGAAAGCAAGCCAGAGGUUAAAUCCUGGGGCCAAACCCCGAGACUGCUAUUGAAACUGUUUUGCGCGAGUACAGGAGGGGCAAGCGGAAUUCCUAGUGUAGGGGUGAAAUGCGUAGAGAUUAGGAGGAACACCGAUAGCGAAGGCGGCCUGCUGGACUGUGACUGACACUGAGGCCCGAAAGCGUGGGGAGCAAACAGGAUUAGAUACCCCAGUAGUC